rnacentral:rRNA from 1 species
GACAGAGGGUGCGAGCGUUGUCCGGAUUUAUUGGGCGUAAAGAGCACGUAGGCGGAUCGAUCAGUCAGGGGUGAAAUCCCAGAGCUCAACUCUGGAACUGCCUUUGAUACUGUCGAUCUAGAGUAUGGAAGAGGUGAGUGGAAUUCCGAGUGUAGAGGUGAAAUUCGUAGAUAUUCGGAGGAACACCAGUGGCGAAGGCGGCUCACUGGUCCAUUACUGACGCUGAGGUGCGAAAGCGUGGGGAGCAAACAGG